GACGAACGCUGGCGGCGUGCUUAACACAUGCAAGUCGAACGAUGAUGCCCAGCUUGCUGGGCGGAUUAGUGGCGAACGGGUGAGUAACACGUGAGUAACCUGCCCUUGACUUCGGGAUAACUCCGGGAAACCGGGGCUAAUACCGGAUAUGAGCCGUCCUCGCAUGGGGGUGGUUGGAAAGUUUUUCGGUCAGGGAUGGGCUCGCGGCCUAUCAGCUUGUUGGUGGGGUGAUGGCCUACCAAGGCGACGACGGGUAGCCGGCCUGAGAGGGCGACCGGCCACACUGGGACUGAGACACGGCCCAGACCCCUACGGGAGGCAGCAGUGGGGAAUAUUGCACAGUGGGCGAAAGCCUGAUGCAGCGACGCCGCGUGAGGGAUGAAGGCCUUCGGGUUGUAAACCUCUUUCAGCAGGGAAGAAGCGCAAGUGACGUACCUGCAGAAGA
rnacentral:rRNA from 1 species